CAGUCGCCGCGGUAAAACGAAGGGGGCUAGCGUUGUUCGGAUUUACUGGGCGUAAAGCGCACGUAGGCGGAUCGAUCAGUCAGGGGUGAAAUCCCAGAGCUCAACUCUGGAACUGCCUUUGAUACUGUCGAUCUGGAGUAUGGAAGAGGUGAGUGGAAUUCCGAGUGUAGAGGUGAAAUUCGUAGAUAUUCGGAGGAACACCAGUGGCGAAGGCGGCUCACUGGUCCAUUACUGACGCUGAGGUGCGAAAGCGUGGGGAGCAAACAGGAUUAGAUACCCCAGUAGUCCCUGUCUCUUAUAC
rnacentral:rRNA from 1 species